rnacentral:rRNA from 1 species
AGCGAACGCUGGCGGCAGGCUUAACACAUGCAAGUCGAGCGGGCAUCUUCGGAUGUCAGCGGCAGACGGGUGAGUAACACGUGGGAACGUACCCUUCGGUUCGGAACAACUCUGGGAAACUGGAGCUAAUACCGGAUCCGCCCUUAUGGGCAAAGGUUUACUGCCGAAGGAUCGGCCCGCGUCUGAUUAGCUAGUUGGUGGGGUAACGGCCUACCAAGGCGACGAGCAGUAGCUGGUCUGAGAGGAUGAUCCGCCACACUGGGACUGAGACACGGCCCAGACUCCUACGGGAGGCAGGAGUGGGGAAUAUUGGAAGAUGGGGGCAAGCAUGAACCAGCCAUGCCGCGUGAGUGAUGAAGGCCUUAGGGUUGUAAAGCUCUUUUGUCCGGGACGAUAAUGACGGUACCGGAAGAAUAAGCCCCGGCUAACUUCGUG